AAAAAGCGCGAUGAGGAAAAAGAUGGCGGACACGUCAAAACCAAAACAUCGCCUGAACUCUCAAACUUGACUCUGAAAACUGAAAACGAACGUUUAAUAUUGGAAUGACGUAAUUUGUUUUAUUCAAGUCCAGGUAAAGAAAAUGUCUUUGAGUGCGACGUGUGAGUCAGUCGCUCAGAAAAGGACGAUAUCGAGCCUCCUCGCCGGUCGCGUGCUGAAGAAGCCGAAGCUUGGAGAUGGUCAGAGGCUGCAGGAGGAAGCGAUCCAGCUGUUGGAGCAGCACCAGGACCUCAGCAGCCUGUUCAAGGAGGCGGGGGCUCCAGAUUUUAACAUUCAGAACGGUGAACAGAGACUGUCCUUGCCAGAGGGAAUCUGUGGAUCUUUGCUGUUGAGUGAAGUGAAGCGCCAGGCCGCACAGACAGGCGUGUCGGUCCCAGUGCUGUCAGUGAAGCUGGUACUGGGAAGACUGGAGGAGAUCACCGAGGAGACUGAUGGACAGAAGCAGGAAGAAGACAGGAGCCGAGGGAUGUUCACGUCUUGUCAGAGGGUCCAGCUGCGUUCUCUGCUCCAGUCCAGCAGAGAGCUGCUGUCACUGGGAGCCCUUUGCCCUAAACUGCUCUGGCAGGAGUACAGGAGGUGUCAGAAACUUCCCAAACUGGAGGUUGUGUACUAUUUACAUUCAUACAACAUCAUUUCUCUGAAGUACAUCAUAAAGAGUGAUGAAGCGGUUGGAACGUGGCUGUCGUCUCAGAUGAAAGCUCUCUCUGAAUGGACACCUCCACACACAGAAGAAGAAACCAAACAAGUUCAACAGAAACUUUUAUCAGCCUUGGUGGGUUUCUUGGUCGGAAGAGGCUUUGAGCAGGUCCCGGACGCCGCGGCGGCAGACGGGACGAUCGCCCUGCUGUGCUGCUCUGUGAUGGACGAUCUGCUCUGCUGGGUUUUGGACAUUGUGGACAAAAGUUCAACACAUCCGUCUGCUGAGACUGGAGCCAAGCUUUGGCUGGGAAUCUUUGAUUCUUCCCUUUGUGGGGUUUCAGCGACAGAAGAGGCCGUUCAGCGUUUCUUCACUCAUUUCCUCACACAGACGCUCACCUACAAAUCUCAACUAUCAGUGUCAGAUGCCAUAAGUCUGCAGCAUGAAUGGACCUUUGCUAAAGCCAGCUGCUGUUUGACUGCACUUUUCCGGAAGCUGGCGGUGGUGUUCAGCGUGGAGCAGCUCUUGGGUCACCUGCAGCGGGUUCUGGAAACUCAUGAGGUCAACUGGAAGCACGUCCUCUGCUUCCUGUCCACUCUGCUGGUUUAUGAGCAGUCUGCCCAGUCCGGCCUCAAAGAGCUGCUGUCCAGACUUCUGAACUCUGCGUUUCAAAGCUAUGAGCUGGAGAAGAUGAUAACCGCCUUCUUGUUGGCUCGGCAGGGGGUUCUGGAAGGUCCCGCCAUCUUUCCUUCCUACAGCGACUGGUUCAAGAUGUCUUUUGGCAGUAGCAGUGGCUACCAUACGAACAGCAAGAAAUCUCUGGUGUUCCUGUUGAAGUUCCUGUCUGACCUGGUGCCCUUUGAGCCUCCGCAGUACCUGAAGGUUCACAUCCUGAACCCUCCCUAUGUGCCGGUGAAACACCGCAGUCUCCUCAUGGAGUACGUCUCUCUGGCAAAGACUCGACUCGCUGACCUGAAGGAGUCUGUGGAGGACAUGGGUUUGUAUGAAGACGUCUGUGGAGCAGCAGUGCAGCCCGAGUGUCAGGCGGAGCAGGACGUGGAGAAAGCCGUGUCUUUGUUUAGGACCACGGGCAGAAUCUCUGCAACAGUCAUGGAGGCCAGCAUUUUCCGGAGGCCGUAUUUCUUGACUCGAUUCCUUCCUGCUCUGCUGAAGCCCAGACUGCUUCCUGUGAAGCCAGAUGCUUUGAUGAGCUUCAUUGAAGCUUUAAAAAAGGCCGAUAAGAUCCCUGCUGCUCUGUAUUCCUCUUAUUUAGAGUCCUGUCAGAAGCAGCGACAGCAGAGAAAAAGCUUUGUGUGUUUGGACACCAACGAUGAUCCUCUGGAGGUCGUCAGGAUUCAGCUGCAGGACUUCACAGAGCUGGUCGCUGGUGAAAACAGAGGAGAGAUGUCAGCCCAGCUGUCCCGGAUCGCCCACACUCUGAGCGUCGUCUUUCCUGGCUGUCCCGAUGUGAAGUCUGGAAGCAUCGUCCUGAACUCCAACAGCUCUCAGUUUCCUGAUCUGCACUUGAAUGUUGUCAACAUCCUCCUGAGAAACUUCUGUCAGUGUCUGCUGAACACGUCCAGAUCCAACCCUCCUAACAACCAGUGGGCGUCCAUGUUUGUUGGCAUGAUGCUUGGGAACACGCAGCUUCUGUCCUGCCUCCUGAACAGACUGUGGGACCUUUUCCACAACCAGGGCCCAGUGCUGACUUCUGCACAUGUGCUGGGAUUGGCAGUGUUUGUCGUUCACCUUCAGGCCUCCAUGUCCCACAAUCCUCUGGUUCAGCUGGCUUCAGCUGCUGGACCAGAGCUGAUCCCGUUCAGAGAAGUUCUGGGCUCGGCUCUGGUGUGCAGCACGCUCCCCCACAUGCUCUUCUGUGUCAGGUUGUGUGUUGCUGCCGUGUGUUUUGGGAUCGUCACCAGAGACUCCAUGCCUGAACAACAAGCGGAGUUCAUCCCCAGCAGCCUUUAUAAGAAGCUCCUGUUCCUCAUCCCAAGACUGAUGCCAGAGGCCAGAGGAAGUGCUGAUGGUUCUGUGAGCGACCCGGAGUCCGGUCUGUGGAGCAGCGUCACGGACGGCGACGGCAGCUGGACCGAGGCCGCCCGCCGUCUGUGGAGACACGAGGCCUUCCAAGAGCUGCAGCUGCUGCCGCAGUAUCAGCUGCGUUUCUCUGAAUGGCUGCACUGCGAACUCCGAGUUCAGAGGAGUGAAGACGCUCUGUCUGAUGCUCAGCGUCAGGAGUAUCAGCAGUGGGCCUGCAUGGACUUGUAUCUCCCUCUUCCUGAGGAGCAGGGAGGCUGUGGAGGAGACAUGAAGAAGCUCUGCUCACAUCUUCUCGACGCCGUCAUGGACCACCAGUUAAGCAGAGACUCCAGCCCUGAGAGGAUUUUCCUUCAGGCUGGAGCAGCAGAGACAGGAAGCUGCCUGCCUGACCUGCUGUCCAGGUUACAGGAGUUGGUCUACGAGAUGGAGGUCAGCGGAGGACGCAGACUCCAUCUGAGCGACUUCCUGUUUGAGCUGCUGUCUCAGAGAUGCCCCCCCACCGGGGCGUCGGCCUCCAUGAGCAUCAGCACCGAGCUCGGUCUGCAGCAAACGCUGCACACCUGGAACAGGGUUCUGCUGUCUCUUCCAGCGGUUCUGUUCAUCCGAGUGAAGACGGAAGGAGAAAGAACGAUUCUGGACAUGAAGAAGCUGAUGGAACAUGUGAACCAGCAUCAGAGGAGGACGUGCGCUCCUUCCGGCCUGCUGCCCAGCCACAUUACUGCACACUUCCUGAAGGGCCUGAUGUAUGCAUGUGUGCAGUGUAAACGUCCAGGAGAAGAACUGGACAGAGUCUGGUCUGACAUGAGUCUUCACUGUCCUCUGAUGCUGGUCUCUGCAGCGCACUGGUGGCAGCGUCUGUCUGCAGUGGCGUUCUCGCUCUGGCGGCGUCUGAGCGACGGCGAGUCUCCACCACAGCAGCUGCAGCUCCUCACUGACUGUCAGGACUGGGCCUGCAGUUUGGUGAAAGGUUACGUCCUGCAGAUGCCUUCAGCUUCAGCUCUUCUUUUGGCGGCCAGCCUUCAUCGUUGUUGGCAAAGCUGUGAAGUGAGCCGCCUUCGCGCUGCCCUGAAUUCACUGCCACACCAGAGAGAUGAGCGAUAUAAGCAGGUGCUUGUUUUUCUGCUCUUCCUCCACGUCAACGACUACCUGUCAGCACUUCUGGAUCCUGAGGAGGAGAGUCCAGAGAGAGCCCGAGUCUUCUGCUCCGAGCUGGUGAGCGUGUUGGUGACCUCUGCUGACUGGCUGCUCGUCUUCACGCCAGACGAACCCAGCAUUUAUCCUUCCGUGACCUUAGUGACGUCCGACAGGGUGGUGCGGUUGUUCCCCUGGGCUUUCUGCAGUUUGAUGUUUCAGGAAAACGCCGCUCUGCUUCAGAGCGCCGCGCCGUGUCCAGGCUUCCUCCAGACCGCCGUCCUCUGCUACAUCUCUGCGCUGCAGCUCUACCUGGACGGACAGACUCCCACAGCCGCCAAGCAGCAGGUGGAGUCUUCCCACAUUCUGAGCCUCACCAAGCAGUUCCUCCUGAGUCGGAUUCCUCAAACACCUCCAGCUCACCUGUCCUCCUCCCGCCUCAGACAGCUGGAGUCCCGCUGUGCAGACCUGGAUCCAGAGCUGGCUGCAGCCCUCUCCAUGCAGCUGGACCCCCACAGCCCCGAGAUGGACUUCCUGUGACCUGCAGAGCUCCAGCCGUGACGUACAUCCAAACUCAAAGACACUUCUCUGACAAAUAUUCACUUCAGGAGCUUCUACACAUGUUCCGGAGCAGGAAUAUUGUUCUGCUGAUUUAGACACUAACUGGAGAACCUAAGUGAAGGUGAUUCCUCACCUGUCAGACAGAUCACUGUCAGCGUUCUGGUCCU